ACAGCUCAGUUGGUAGAACUUGAGACUCUUAAUCUCAAGGCUGUGGGUUUGAUCCCCCUGUUGGAUG
rnacentral:tRNA from 1 species